rnacentral:rRNA from 1 species
CCUACGGGAGGCAGCAGUGGGGAAUAUUGGUCAAUGGGCGGAAGCCUGAACCAGCCAAGUAGCGUGCAGGAUGACGGCCCUACGGGUUGUAAGCUGCUUUUAUACGGAGGUAACGCGCCUUACGUAUAGGGCUUUGCAUGUACCGUAUGAAUAGAGACCGGCUAAUUCCGUGCCAGCAGCCGCGGUAAUACGGAAGGUCCGGGCGUUAUCCGGAUUUAUUUGGGUUAAAGGGAGCGUAGGCCGACUGUCAAGCGUGCUGUGAAAUGUCCGGGCUCAACCCGGGCCUUGCAGCGCGAACUGGCGUGCUUGAGUCUGCGGAAGGGAGGCGGAAUUCGUGGUGUAGCGGUGAAAUGCGUAGAGAUGACGAAGAACACCGAUGGCGAAGGCAGCCGGCUGCAGCGGAACUGACGCUGAGGUGCGAAAGCGCGGGUAGCGAACAGGAUUAGAUACCCUUGUAGUC